rnacentral:rRNA from 1 species
GACGAACGCUGGCGGCGUGCUUAACACAUGCAAGUCGAACGAUGAAGAAGAGAAACGCGAACUUCGGUGCAAAUUUCACUUCGGAUUAGUGGCAGACGGGUGAGUAACGCGUGAGCAACCUACCUCUUACAAAGGGAUAGCCUCGGGAAACCGUGAUUAAUACCAUAUGACACAUUCAUAAGGCAUCUUAAGAAUGUUAAAGCUACGGCGGUAAGAGAUGGGCUCGCGUCCCAUUAGCUAGUUGGUGAGGUAACGGCCCACCAAGGCGACGAUGGGUAACCGGCCUGAGAGGGUGAACGGUCACAUUGGAACUGAGACACGGUCCAAACUCCUACGGGAGGCAGCAGUGGGGAAUAUUGCACAAUGGAGGGAACUCUGAUGCAGCGACGCCGCGUGAGCGAUGAAGGAAUUCGUGUCGUAAAGCUCUGUUCUAUGGGAAGAAAAGGACUGUACCAUAGGAGAAAGCCCCGGCUAAAUACGUG